UUCAGAUAAAGGCAAACCUAUUGAAAAAUAGGGACGCAAAGUCACAGAUCUAAGGUCUAAAGGAUAUAAAUGCACUAGGAUGGCUGGACUUCCUAU
rnacentral:ncRNA from 1 species